AUGUGCUUCAUAAAAAUGACUUUGUUAACAUAACAAAGGACACCUUUAUCCCUCUCAACACUUAAGAAAUUCCAAGGGUUUUAGGAGCUCUGUGCCAGAAGCAGAUGAAGACCAAAUAUA